rnacentral:lncRNA from 1 species
CCACGCGCGUCAUUCAGGCCGAUUUCACCGGGGGCUUGGAGAUCUACGGUGCCAUCGAGGCAGGACUGCGGGGCCUGGAGAUCGGAGUGCUGGUGAACAAUGUGGGCAUGUUGUAUGGCGGCCUGCUGUCCGGCUCGAACUUGCGGAAGUUUCUGGACACCAAGAAUGUGGGCCAGAGCAUCUCGGAUGUUAUCAACUGCAACACGAUGUCGGCGGCUCAGAUGACCGGGAUCGUCCUGCCCCAGAUGGUCAGCAGGGGCAGAGGCGUCAUCGUCAACGUGUCCUCCAUAGCCAGCCAAUUUGGCAUCCUGUCUCCUGCCUGAAAGCCACUAAGGACUUUGUGCAGCGCUUCUCCGCGGCUGUGGGCGCAGAGUACACCCCUCAUGGUGUCACCAUCCAGACGGUGAGCCCCUCGUUUGUCGCCACAAACAUGAUCAACAACAAGUCAACCGGGCUGCUGGUGAAGAGUGCCGACGAGUUCGCCCGCACGGCCUUGGACACGCUGAGCCUCUCCUCCCACGUCCCGAGCUGACUCUGCCUCUCUCCUACAGAGCUUCCUGCUGCCUUUCAUCAUACCCGUAUGGCUUACCAACAGUCUCUGGGGAAUCCGGCUUCUGUCUCUAGGAAGCAAGGUCAAAUUUUUCUCCUUGCUUCAACGCGCGACAGGGCGAUCACAGCGAAGAUGCCUUCCGGAAGGUCUCAGGUCGGAACAAAGAGACAAGCAGGCUGAUGGGACACUGGAGGUUGGGUGAUGAGGACGGCCUCACUCCCCUCUGGCAGAAAGAUGGAGUUUUUAAUAUGCACUGUAAAAACCUAGACAGCCCUUUGGUGACAUUUAAAAAAUUUUUUUUCUGGCACCGGGGAUCGAACUCAGGACCUUGUGCUUGCAAGGCAGGUGCAGCGCCCGUCAGCUAAAUCCCUGGCAGGUGACAUUUUUAAAUUUAAAAAAAUGAAAUUGUAGUGGUGGUUGCACACCUUAGUGAAUGUACUGAAAACUCAGGAAUUGUAAACAUUAAAAGGGUGAAUCUUAUGUGGGUGAUAUCUCAAUAAAAAUAAUUUUAAAAUGGAGUCUUUCAAUGUGUAAAAAUUGUAUUCCUUCCUUCCUUACAUCAUGCACAACAUAAGCUUGAAAUGAAUCAGCACUCCCCACAUAAAAAGGGAAACAGAAUUGCUGGAGUACAGAAGUCAAUAUUUUUUACCUUUUUUGGUUUUUUGAGGCAGGGCCUUGCUUGCUAUGUAGUCCAGGCUGGUCUUGAACUCACAGUGAUCCUCCUGCCUCGGCACUCAGGAAGGUGAGGGAGGAGGAUCAAAGGCAUGUGCCAUCAUACUGGGUUUUCUUUUAAUUUUUUUUUUUGGUACCAGGAAUUGAACUCAGGUCCUUGCACUUGUGCAGCAGGCAGUGAAACCACUGAGCUAAAUUCCUGGCCCUUAAAAAAAAUUUUUUUUUUUUUGGUUUUCUUUUCUAUCUUGGAGUAGGAAAAAUCUAAAUAUUGAAAACUUGAAACAACAAAAAGAAGUACUAAUAAGUACUGAACUGUAGUUUAACCAUGUAUGGGCUGAGUUAUUUGGGGAGUGCGCUAUCCCUGUGAUGGACUUUGAAAGGUUCGGGAAAGGUAGAUGAACUAGUGGUGAGUCAAUCAGGGAUGGUCAGGUGUUGGUGGUAGAAUUGUGUCAUUUCUUCAGCUUUUCUGUAGGUUUUUAAUGGUUCAUAGUAAAAUGCUGGAGCAGCUGGGUGUGGUGAUGCACGCCUGUAAUCUCAGCACUUGGGAGGCUGAGGCAGGAGGCUCACCAUGAAUUUGAGGCCAGCCUGGGCUACAUAGCAAGACCUUGUCUCAAAAAAACCACACCCACCCACACAUACACGCAGAGCUAGAGGAAAACCAAGCACAAUAAACAAAAAUUUAUAAAUAAAUCUACUGAAACAGAAUUAAUAAUUGCUUAAGAAAUGGUGAUGCCAUUUAAGUGUGGUGGCCCAUGCCUGAAAUCCCAGCAUUCUGGGAGGCUGGGGACCUUAACGACUUAGCAAGACCCUGUCUCAAAAAACAAAAUUUAAAAAGACCUGGAAUGCAGCUCAGUCUAUUCCCUCUGGUUUCAAUUCCCAUUACAGAAAAGGAAGGAAAAAAGAGUAUGAGACCAUAGCAAAAUAAAAGUUGAGACAAUCUUGGAGAAGAUAUUUACAACUUACAUUAUACACAAGAUGCUUGUCUGCUUAAUAUAUAAAGGAUGUUUUAAAAUGAGACAGAAAAAGACCUGGGGCUGGGGAUGUAAAUCAGUGGAACCCCACCUCCCAGGCAAGUGCAAGGUCCUGAGUUCAAUCCCCGGUACCAGAAAAAAAAAAGACGAAAGUCCCAAUUUUUUCCAAUGCACAGAAGAACAGAUAGCUCACAGAGAAAGAUAGACAGGUGGUCCUUAACUUUUUGGAAAGCUGCUCACCAUCCCUGGUAAUAAAAACCUCAUCAACGGAGGUGGGGACAGGCCAGCAGCAGAGGGCCAGGGAGGCUUGGCUGAGGCCCUGGGCCGGGUCUCCAGGACCGGAAAAGGAGAAGGAAAAGGGGGAGGGUGGGGGUGAAGGACACUAAUGAAAACUACUCCAAAGUAGCAUUUUUUACCUAUGAUAUUGGCAAAACCUCACGUGCCAGAGCAAAUGCUCCAGUGCAUUGCUGCUGCCACUGAGGCGGGAGAACAGAGCACGGCUCAAGGGUCAUAAGAACCCAGAGGACAUGUGCAGAACUCGGGAUCCAAAACCACUGCCUAGCUGAGCACUGUACCUAGAGCCAAGCAGAAAGUGGUAUUUUCAAUCCCUUAUUUGAAUCUGGCACUGUUGCUAGGAGCAAUCAGAAAAACGCUAUUAAUUCCUCAUUUGGAUCUGGCUGGAAGCCAAGUGAGUCUUUCCAUAGAACACUUUCAAUCUGGUGCCGGGAUUGGUUCAGGGAAAUUUUUUUUUUUUGAAAUGGAAUUGAACUCCAGACCUUGCACUUGCACAGCAGGCAGCAGAACUACUGAGCUAAAUCCCUGGGCUCUACCCCUUUAAUUUUUUUUGUUUGGUACCAGGGACCCAACUCGGGUCCUUGCACCUGCCACUGAGCUAAAUCCCCAGCCCCUGAAUUUUUGAUAGGACAAGUGUCUGAGUCCCUUGUUUGCAUGAGGGAGAAGCUGAUCCAGGAACUUUGUAUACCAAAGACUCCUUUCUCUCUCUCUCUUUUUGGUACUGGGGAUCGAACUCAGGACCUUGGGAUUGUGAGGCAGGCACAUUGCCACUGAGCUAAAUCCCCACCCCUAAAGACCUUUUUCUCUUAUCCUCCAGCUGCACUAGCCCUCUCUUGGCUUGUAGAGGGUUUUGUUUUGUUUGGUUUGGUUUGGUUUUGUUAAGGCAGGGUUUCCCUGUGUGGUACAGCUGACCUUGAACACACUAUGGAGCCCAGGGUGACCUCCAUCCUUCCUCAUCCUCCUGCCUCAGCCUCGGAAGUGCUGGAAUUACAGGACUGCACCACCACACCCAGUUUUACCCUGUAGCACUUGCUUCUUUUCCACCUUCAAUAAAUGUACUCCCUCGCCACCUUUUCUGUGUGUCCUGUCCAGUUCUUAGUUCAGGAUACAAUGAACCUGGAAGGAAUCCUUCCCAUCCCCCACUGUCAGGCAAGUGUGCAGCCUCCAUGGAGAAAAAUUUGACAAUAAAGAUGUGUGUUUACUGCAUCGAAGGUGCAGACAGGAGAGAGACCACUCGGGCAGGCUUUGUGAACGCAGCUAGGCUGUUCAUUUCACUGGGGUGUGAGUGGGCUGAGUCUGAAAAGAGAAUCAGCAAUGAACAAGGGGAGAGGGACAGUUUUUAAGGGGAAGGUGGCUGCCAGGUGCUGGGGGUGGUUGUGGGUGUCGGUCUGAGCCACUACUGCCUUGAGGAGUCUGGGGGCAGAGGUAGUGUAGCCUGUGCUCCCCACACCUGGCAGGGGCACAGGUGUACUCAGACUUCCUGGAACUAAAGGCUGGGACAUGGCGAUGUGUGACGGCCUUUCCCACUGACGUGGCCUGGCGUGACAUUGACUUUUUGGGUUUCUUUGUUUUUUGCAGUCCUAGGGAUUUCACCCCAGGACCUUACACGUACUAGGCAACUGUUUUAUCACUGAGCUACAUCCCAGUCCUUUUUGUUUUAUCUUCACAUUUUUUUGGUCUUUUUAUUUUAUCUUGAAUCACAGGCUCACUAAGAUGCCCAGGCUGGCCUUGAACUUGCAAUCUUCCUGCAUCAGCUUUCCAAGUAGCUGGGCUGAAAGGCAUGCGACCCCAUGCUCUGUGUUUGCUUUUAUUCCCAGAAAUCUGCUUCCAAGGAUAUAUUCUGGGCAUCCACCUCACAGGG